AGUUAAUUAACUUAAAUAAAGUUUAUGUCUUGAAAACAUAAAAUAGAAGAUUUAACUUCUAUUAACUU
rnacentral:tRNA from 1 species